rnacentral:rRNA from 1 species
GAUGAACGCUGGCGGCGUGCCUAAUACAUGCAAGUCGAGCGAACAGACGAGGAGCUUGCUCCUCUGAGGUUAGUGGCGGACGGGUGAGUAACACGUGGAUAACCUACCUUUUAGCCUGGGAUAACUUUGGGAAACCGGAGCUAAUACCGGAUAAUAUAUUGAACCACAUGGUUUAUUAGUGAAAGACGGAUUUGCUGCACUAUAUGGAUGACUCCGCGCUGCAUUAGCUAGUAGGUAAGGUAACGGCUUACCAAGGCGACGAUGCGUAGCCGACCUGAGAGGGUGAUCGGCCACACUGGAACUGAGACACGGCCCAGACUCCUACGGGAGGCAGCAGUAGGGAAUCUUCCGCAAUGGGCGAAAGCCUGACGGAGCAACGCCGCGUGAGUGAUGAAGGUCUUCGGAUCGUAAAGCUCUGUUAUUAGUGAAGAACAAAUGUGUAAGUAACUAGGCACGUCUUGACGGUAACUAAUCAAAAAGCCGCGGCUAACUACGUG